UCCGGUUUGUCACCGGCAGUCCCAUUAGAGUGCUCAACUGAAUGUAGCAACUAAUGGCAAGGGUUGCGCUCGUUGCGGGACUUAACCCAACAUCUCGCGACACGAGCUGACGACAGCCAUGCACCACCUGUGAUCGAGCCCCGAAGGGGGGCCGUAUUUCUACGGCUUUCCCGACCAUGUCAAGCCUUGGUAAGGUUCUUCGCGUUGCGUCGAAUUAAACCACAUGCUCCGCUGCUUGUGCGGGCCCCCGUCAAUUCCUUUGAGUUUUAGCCUUGCGGCCGUACUCCCCAGGCGGAGUGCUUAAUGCGUUAGCUUCGGCACGGGGGGAGUCGACACCCCCCACACCUAGCGCUCAUCGUUUACGGCGUGGACUA
rnacentral:misc_RNA from 1 species